UACAUUCAAGGGGAUUUUCAGAUUCCCUGGGUGUUGCGACAGUGGAAGAGACUAAUGAAAAAAGAGACUGAUAACAUGGACAUUUUUAAAUGGAUGUCAAGAGAUUCGUGUUCACCCUCGUCAGCACCCCGGAAAAAAUUUUUAAGUUCAGAGUUGAAUAAAAUGUACAUCAGACCAAUAAGGAAUGCCACGCUCUCCUGGAGUCAUGAUCUGUCCAGCGCAGUGCUUUGAUUCUGACUCCAACGAACUUUCUUCCACACCAGUGCUCCCUCCACUUUUGACUGCCUUAACACUUGCAUGGGAACACAGAUAUUCUUUCAAUCAGGUUCCGAGUCUUCAUGCUUAGGAUUUGGUAUUUCUAAUAACUUGAACCAACAGAAAUGCUGGUAACAGUUGCAUGGACUUCCUUUUACUGAUUUUCUUACACUCCAGAAACAUACCAUCCCAUGUUCAAAGGAUGGAAGUCCAAGGAAUUCUUAUCUUUAUUCCCUAACAUGCCUAGCUCCAUCAUACUACUGGUCAGUACUGUGUGUUUCCUACCUAACAAACCCAGAUCAAAGCCAAAUGAAAUGUCUUCUCCAGACUUUUCUCACUCCUAAUUUUAUAAAUAAAAAAUAUUUUUAUUUUUUAUAUAAA